CACCCAGACUCCUACGGGAGGCAGCAGUGGGGAAUAUUGCACAAUGGGGGAAACCCUGAUGCAGCGACGCCGCGUGAGCGAUGAAGUAUUUCGGUAUGUAAAGCCCUAUCGGCAGGGAAGAAACAGACGGUACCUGACUAAGAAGCCCCGGCUAACUACGUGCCAGCAGCCGCGGUAAUACGUAGGGGGCAAGCGUUAUCCGGAUUCACUGGGUGUAAAGGGAGCGUAGACGGCGACGCAAGUCUGGAGUGAAAGCCCGGGGCCCAACCCCGGGACUGCUCUGGAAACUGCGUCGCUGGAGUACGGGAGGGGCAGGCGGAAUUCCUGGUGUAGCGGUGAAAUGCGUAGAUAUCAGGAGGAACACCGGCGGCGAAGGCGGCCUGCCGGACCGUGACUGACGUUGAGGCUCGAGAGCGUGGGGAGCAAACAGGAUUAGAUACCCUGGUA
rnacentral:rRNA from 1 species